rfam:Pan troglodytes isolate Yerkes chimp pedigree #C0471 (Clint) chromosome 11, whole genome shotgun sequence.
GCUGGGUGUGGUGGUGCACCCCUGUAAUCCAAGAUACUUGGGAGGCUGAGGUGGGAGAAUUGCUUGAACCCAGGAGGCAGAGGCUGCAGUGAGCCGAGAUUGAGCCACUGCACUCCAGCCUGGGCAACAGAGCGAGACCUCAUCUCAA